GAGUAAAAGAGUUGUGGAGGAACUGUCACUUGAUAGGAGGAAGAUUGGCUCCCAUAUUUCUACCCCUUGUCUUGGAAGGUCAGCUUUCCAACCCUGCAGACCUUAGCUGCUCUGAUGGGCUUUCAUAUGUAUACUCAAAAGAAAAAUGAUGAGAACACAGUGAGACAGCUGUGAAGUAUAAUAAAAGUGAAAAGAAUAUACAUUUUUAUGAACUUUCCUGAACUAAUUCCUUUUGCCAGACCACUCCAGACAGGAAGAGGCUGACACAGUGGUGAUCUGCAUCUGCAGCUUCUGAGAGGAAAAAAAAAUCUUCCUUGGCAAGUGGAGCUAGAAACCCAGAAAAUGAAGGAUUAAUACGUUCAUUUAUACAGGAGCAGUGAGAACACAAUAACAUGAAAUACAACCAAGGAGGAUGCAUUUAAAAGACAAAAGAGCCCUGGAAGGGACGGUACUUAGCUUUGUUCAGAAUGCGAACUCUAACAUGCAGUUCUGGGAAUUGGUGAAUUGCACAGCUUAAUGUUAAAAGAAAUUACUUCAUACCACAAGAAAUACACGAUCUGUGCCUUGAAAACCUGAAGGUACUUUCCUUUCUCUUUCUGCCAGGAGAGGAGUGGAACACUGGAUCUGCUUGAAAUUGAGAAAGGACAGAUCGUUAAGAAAACAGGACCGCUACAUUAUUGGAACCUUCAAACAGAUCCCCCUGCCUGCCUCCUUUGGAAGAGAUGCAGACUGAGCCUGAGACAUAUGGAGGCUUUGGUAAAGGGCUUUAAAAUGCUUCCUCACCCCCAGCUGAGUAUUGGUAGCUACUUCAGAGUUGUGAAAAGAGAAGAUAUCCUUAGCUGUCUGUGCAGAGCAUUUUCAGAUUAAGAAGUCAGCAAGCACUGAAAUUCACUGAAAGGGAAACUUCUCUGUAAGGUGUGUUCAGGCUCAAAAGAGGAGCAACAGUCAUGAGCCUUGAUAGUGCAAAGUUCUCUACAGUCACAGGACGAAAGGCUGCUAUUGCAGGAUUGGAAUUAUUUUUUCAGAGAAGCAGACAUUAUUUGAACAAGAUUCUGGAUUCUGAAUUUCACAAAGAAGGUGCAAGGCUAUGAUUUUUUCUUCAAGUUUCAUCAAAUUUUUCUGCAUAAGAUGAAUGAAUGAAUAAGUUACUAACUAACUAACUGAAGACGCCCUCAUCAAGCAGCUUUUACUGGCUGAACCAAGUGUCCUAUGGCCUUCAUCAAGCUGCGCUCUCUCUGAGGUAACCAGAUUUUUCAUCCCAUUGAUAUGUUUUCCAAUUGAAACAGAGAAUCAGUCAGCAAGGAAGGCAUCCUAGAACCUUUCUAGGACCAUGCUAGGAGCCUAAAUCUCAAAA